rnacentral:rRNA from 1 species
UACGAGGGGGGCAAGCGUUGUUCGGAAUUAUUGGGCGUAAAGGGUGCGUAGGCGGUUUGGUAAGUCUGAUGUGAAAUCUAUGGGCUCAACUCAUAGUCUGCAUCGGAAACUGCCGGGCUUGAGUGUGGGAGAGGUGAGUGGAAUUCCUUGUGUAGCGGUGAAAUGCGUAGAUAUCAGGAGGAACACCUGUGGCGAAAGCGGCUCACUGGACCAUAACUGACGCUGAUGCACGAAAGCUAGGGGAGCAAACAGG